rnacentral:rRNA from 1 species
CAGCAGCCACGGGAAUACGGAGGGUGCAAGCGUUAAUCGGAAUUACUGGGCGUAAAGCGCACGCAGGCGGUUUGUUAAGUCAGAUGUGAAAUCCCCGGGCUCAACCUGGGAACUGCAUUUGAAACUGGCAAGCUAGAGUCUCGUAGAGGGGGGUAGAAUUCCAGGUGUAGCGGUGAAAUGCGUAGAGAUCUGGAGGAAUACCGGUGGCGAAGGCGGCCCCCUGGACGAAGACUGACGCUCAGGUGCGAAAGCGUGGGGAGCAAACAGGAUUAGAUACCCCUGUAGUCCCUGUCUCUUAUCC